rnacentral:misc_RNA from 1 species
AAGUCGUAACAAGGUUUCCGUAGGUGAACCUGCGGAAGGAUCAUUAUCGAGGUGAAUCGUAGCACCUUAAAUUAGCGACCAAUUAUGUGCAUCUUACCUGCUUGUUGGUGGGGUCAUUGAUGUGAGGCCUUCGGGAAGAUCAUCAAUGUAACCACCGACCCAUAUAAACCUCUUUAUUACCACUCAUCGAUUAGUACUAAGGGACUUGUCCCGAGGGAAGAAAUACAACUUUUAGCAACGGAUCUCUAGGCUCUC